UAAGGAAUAUUGCUCAAUGGGAGAAAUCCUGAAGCAGCAACGCCGCGUGGAGGAUGAAGGGUCUAUGACUUGUAAACUCCUGUAAAGAAGGAAAAAAUUCCCAUUAGAUGGGAGAUGAUGGUACUUCUGGAGUAAGCCCCGGCUAACUACGUGCCAGCAGCCGCGGUAAUACGUAGGGGGCAAGCGUUGUCCGGAUUUACUGGGUGUAAAGGGUGCUCAGGCGGAUUUGUAAGUCAGAGGUGAAAUCUUACAGCUUAACUGUGAAACUGCCUUUGAUACUGCAAGCCUAGAGUAUGGAAGAGAGUGAUGGAAUAUCUGGUGUAGCAGUGAAAUGCGUAGAUAUCAGAUAGAACACCAAUGGCGAAGGCAGUCACUUGAUCCAUUACUGACGCUAAAGCACGAAAGCGUGGGUAGCAAACA
rnacentral:rRNA from 1 species